UGGUUUCGCUUUCGUGGAAAUCCUAACGUCAUAAGACUGUAAGUUUCGCUUUCCUGACAGUUUGAUAUAAUAGGAUCUACAUCGUAUUCAGAUAGCCAUGCAGCGCACAGACGCCUCACGCACUUUCACACAGCAAGUGAAGACUUAAUAUUGUUAAAGUUAGUGGCAUAACCAUUGUGUCACCAUGGGAGUCAGAGGACUGAAGACCUACAUUGAAAGCAGGAACAAAAAUGAUUUAAGGAGCUGGGCUUUUGGAGACAAGAAACUUAUAAUUGAUGGAUGUAAUUUAUACUACACCCUGUACUUUGACUAUAAGUUGGAUCAGAUGCAUGGAGGAGACUAUGACGCCUUUGAGGAGUUGAUCACAGAAUUCUUUAAGAACCUCACAGCCUGCGACAUUCACCCUUAUGUUGUACUUGAUGGCGCAGCUGACCACACGGACAAAAAAUGGGAAACUAUUAGGCAACGAAAACAGGAUAAAAUAAAUGCAGCCUUGGCCGUGUCUGAGGGGAAGAAAGAAAAGGUCCUUCCUAUUCUCAUUGGUAAUGUUUUCAGACAGCUUCUUCAUAAGCUCAAGAUACCGCUGGUUCAGUGCAUUGAAGAAGCUGACUGGGAAAUUGCUGCUUUGGCUGAAGAGUGGAACUGUCCAGUUUUGUCCAAUGACAGUGACUUCUAUAUAUUCAACCUCAAGGCGGGAUUCCUGCCAAUCACACAUUUCCAGUGGGAAACCGUGAAACAGGACAGACGGACAAACAAAAAAUUCAUCCAAGUCAAACACUUUACAGUGAGAAAAUUCUGUGCAUCUUUCAAAAUGAACACAAACCUUCUACCAGUUUUUGCUUCUAUCUUAGGCAAUGAUUAUGUGAAGCUGCAAAAUAUCAGAUGUAUGAAUUGGGCAGAGCACUCAGUUACGGACACACUGCAUCCCCACAUUGAUGGCUUGCUUAACUGGUUAUCCCAGUUUCCAGGGCCAGAAGUGGCUGUAAGUGCUUUGUUGAAAACAAUGUCCGACAAUGAAAAAGCCAUCACCAAAGAAGCACUAUCCAAGGGAAUCCAAGAGUACAAGCUCUUCCCUGGCUCUCUUGCCAAGUUCUUCCAAUUAAAGAUGAUUCCACCUACAACUUGUAAAGGACGUCUGCAAGUUCUACCUCAAUGCACCUUGAUGCUCCUACUUGAGGGAAAGAUGAGCUCCUCCAUUAUCGAUGCAGUAAUGAAUCAGAGGGUUUUAAUGACAUCUCAAGUUGAAGAUUUCCAACUCCCCUGUAGCAGUGAAAUCUCUCGCCCCAUACGCCAGGUGAUUUACGGGUUACUUUUGUUGGGAGAACAAAGAUCUACUGGCACAAGUAAGUGUUAUGUGGAGGAAUACUUCAGACAGCAAACAAAACUAAGCAGUCAGAAAGUUGAAGGCUUACAGACCAUGGAUGGACUUCAGCUAAAAACUUUAUUGGAGGAACCACUCAGUGUGCGACUUCAGGUGCUCCUGGACACUUUAGGUGUGUCGUCUGAGAUGUUAAGAGGGAUCCAACCUGAUCUACAUCUGCAAAUAUUUGUGACACGUUACUGGCUAGUAAACGCACAGCCUCAGCCGUCCCAAAUGCAUCUUUGGGGGCUGCUGCUGGGAAUGGUCUAUGGAAAGUUCAGCAGUACACUUAAAGGACAAAGAGACAUGCUGUUGGGACCUAAGAAACUACAAACUGCUGGAAGAAGGAUUGAUCUGGAGCAUGAAACGGCUCAUCUAUACAGCCAGUGGCAGUCCUGCCUAAAGUGGAGUCUCAGUCUCAAUAGUUUACUGUGUUUUCCGGUGUCUGAACCAGAGAUUGUAAGUUUGUACUCUGGAACACGUCUGCACCAAGUCGUCCGUGAGCUCAGGAGAGGCAGGCCUCUGGACAGUCUGCUGGAGAGGGGUUCGAGCGCAGAGCGGCUCUUCAAACAGCUAAAGGACGUAGUUGAAAGCUUGGUUGGUGAAAACUUCAUCAAGAGAAUGAGAACCGGGCUCGAGCAAAGAACUGUUGGGAACACACACAGAGACUACAAUGGCCAUAAUCAGCCUAUAGAUGAACUGAGCAGUUACUUUGAACAUCUGAUGUAUGAGUAUGACUAUGAAGAUGAUGAUGAUCUUAAUGAGAAUUUAAGGAAAAGUAAAGCCAAGUAUCAUCCUGACAUUUCCUGCACCAUCCGUACCAGACACAAGUCUAAAGCUCGCAAUGCUAAUCAUCCCUCAAAAAAAUAUGAAAGGAGUUGCUUUGAUUAGACCUUAAAGGACUUUGCAAAUGUUUGCAAGAAUACACUUAUAUUGGAAAUGAGAUAAGACAUGCCAGGAAACCAGAAUAUGACAGCUUGUCUACUGUAUACCACAAUCACAUUAUUUAUUGAUUUAAGAUUAAAAAUCAUUUUAUGAUAUUUGCAUUAAGGUGUUGGACUUUGGAAUUUUGGUAAAUUAAGGACUGUUCACACAAAAGAUGAUAACUAUAAUGAUAACGAUGAAGAAUCACUAUCUUUAGAAUAACUUUUUCAGUUCCAGUUGAUGAAUGAUAAAAACAUUGACACCCAAUCAGAUUCAGUUCUGCUAUAACUAGGUUAAGAAUUAAUGGCCGCAGGUGUGGACACUAAUAUGUGCUCAUUCUUGGUGUGAAUGGGCCUUUAGACUAUGGUUGUGUCAACGCAAAUUCAACCUAUUCAACAGAGUAUUUUAAGUAACAUAAGCUUUUUAACUGAAGUAUCAAAUUUAAAUAUUUUCUAUUUUAAUCUUUCUUUUGUGUGUAAAUAACCUUACAGAUUUCUAUAUCACGGCAUAAUGUAUUAGUUGUUCUACACAUACACAGAUUAUGAGCACAAAAAGUGUUAUAUAUCAAGUCUAAACUUUAAUUUUUCAUGUAAAUUAUCCUAUUGCCUAGCACUAACCUGUUUAAAACAGUUAGGCACUUAGGUAUUACAAACAUUAAAAUCAUGGGUGUCAAUGAUUUGAAUGGAAUAAAAAUGGACUUGAUUUGAAAAUGUAGUGCAUGCAUGUUUUCCAAAAUGCAGUUUAAAAAAAAAUCAACUUCAGAUGCACAUCUUUUCAAUUUGUAAAAAUUUUAUUGUACAAUUGUGUUCUGAAAUGACUACAACAGAUUACUGGUUUCAGCUGUGCAAAACACAAUAAAAUAAAUACAAUCUUAAAAACAUUUAUUACAAAAAAAAAAAAACCCUUCAAUGAUAACCCUUCAAUUUACAUUUUUAUACUGCUUCAUAUCAGUGUAUUACACGGUUUGUUUUCAAAGCAACAGCAAUGCUAGAAAUCAAACAAAGGGCAUCUCACCAAUUAAUAAAUGUGGACAAAGUGAUGAUAAAGAAACACUACCUGCAAUAGAAAGGACAAACAUGAUCGCACACUGCAAAAACUCAAUUAUAUCAUUUUCAGCUGUAUCUUAUUAACAUGAUACAGUGUUGGCAGAUGGGAAUAAGACAAUGCUGGUGGGCUGCACUGAGGUUUUUUGGCAUGGGUAGGUGGAGGGCGGGGGGGGGGGGGGGGGUGUCAGGACUGGUGAGUUGAAUAUUUUUGUACAGCCAAAAUAAGCAUCCAUUUAACUGACGACUACAUCAUUAAACUCUUAAAAAAAACGAAUAAUUCACCUAACUGAGCACCAAAAAGGUGAGGAAAUAAAUACCACUAAAGGAUAAGCCAAAGUAAAGUCAAAAGCAUUUUAUUUUCAGAUGGCCCUAAUACCAGUGUAUUAACACAAGGAAAGUAACAAGAUAGUAUUGAUACUACGCAAAUACAGAGGAACUGAUAAGUAAUUGUACAAGCCAGUUGUAUUAAUCAUCAGUCUAAUAUAAGAACCAAUAGUGCAUGUAUCUUGUAGGUCAUCAAAAAGUGGGACCAUGUAAUCUGGUAAGACCAUCAUAUUGUGGGUUCCUGUAUCUUCAAAUAGAAAGACAUUAUAAAAAGCAGAUUUCAAGAAAGCCUUUUCGGUGUUUUACUAUAAAUCAGAAACUAAACUGUCUGUUUCAUGGUGUUGUAAAAUGAAUAUGUCAUCCAUGAUGCUAUAAAGUUUAUUAUGUGACGAUUUAGCAUAUCACGUAUGUCUUAAUUCGCACCCGAGGGUCAUCAUGACCCAAAACAUGUGAUUUUAAGUGGCCCAUUCCAUCAAACACUGGACCUUCCACUCAUGGUUUAAGAGGGCACAAGCUUACAACAGUCUCCAAUGCUAAAUAAAU